rnacentral:rRNA from 1 species
GACGAACGCUGGCGGCGUGCUUAACACAUGCAAGUCGAACGGAAAGGCCCUGCUUUUGUGGGGUGCUCGAGUGGCGAACGGGGGAGUAACACGUGAGUAACCUGCCCUUGUCUUUGGGAUAACAUCAGGAAACUGGGGCUAAUACCGGAUAGGAGCUCCUGCUGCAUGGUGGGGGUUGGUAAGAUUCGGCGGUUGGGGCUGGUAUGGCGGGUUAUCAGCUUGUUGGUGGGGUAGUGGCGUAACAAGGCUUUGAAGGGUAGCCGGCCUGAGAGGGUGACCGGCCACAUUGGGACUGAGAUACGGCCCAGAAUCCUACGGGAGGCAGCAGUGGGGAAUAUGACACAAUGGGCGGAAGUCUGAUGCAGCAACGCCGCGUGCGGGAUGACGUCCUUCGGGUUGUAAACCGCUGUCGCCUGUGACGAAGCGUGAGUGACGGUAAUGGGUAAAGAAGCACCGGCUAACUACGUG